rnacentral:rRNA from 1 species
UAGGGAAUCUUCCGCAAUGGACGAAAGUCUGACGGAGCAACGCCGCGUGAGUGAAGAAGGAUUUCGGUUCGUAAAACUCUGUUGUUAGGGAAGAAAAAAUGUAUAGUAACUAUAUACAAAAGAGACGGUACCUAACCAGAAAGCCACGGCUAACUACGUGCCAGCAGCCGCGGUAAUACGUAAGUGGCAAGCGUUGUCCGGAAUUAUUGGGCGUAAAGCGCGCGCAGGUGGUUUAGAAAGUCUGAUGUGAAAGCCCACGGCUCAACCGUGGAGGGUCAUUGGAAACUAAUAAACUUGAGUGCAGGAGAGAAAAGUGGAAUUCCUAGUGUAGCGGUGAAAUGCGUAGAGAUUAGGAGGAACACCGGUGGCGAAAGCGGCUUUUUGGCCUGCAACUGACACUGAGGCGCGAAAGCGUGGGGAGCAAACAGG